rnacentral:rRNA from 1 species
AUUGAACGCUGGCGGCAGGCCUAACACAUGCAAGUCGAGCGGGGCGGCGGACGGGCGAGUAAUGCCUAGGAAUCUGCCUGGUCGUGGGGGAUAACGUCCGGCAACGGGCGCUAAGACCGCCUACUCUCACCUGAGCCUAGGUCGGAGUAGCGAGUUGGGGGGGUAAAGGCCUACCCAGGCGACGAUCCGUAACUGGUCUGAGAGGAUGAUCAGUCACACUGGAACGGAGACACGGUCCAGACUCCUACGGGAGGCAGCAGUGGGGAAUAUUGUACAAUGGGCGAAAGCCUGAUGCAGACAUGCCGCGUGUGUGAAGAAGGUCUUCGGAUUGUAAAGCACUUGAAGUUGGGAGGCGGUACCAACAGAAGAAGCACCGGCUAACUUCGUGCCAGCAGCCGCGGUAAUAC